CACCUGUUAACAAAAAAUAUGAACUUCAAGAUCUCUCCAGAAUAGUUUUCUAACUACAGACCCAUUUAGUUCAUCUUACAUAAGUCAUCAUCUAGUCAGAGAGGAUGUGAAGGUUUAAUUACAAAUAGCUUCUAAAUUGGAUUCGAUUCGCUCCAAUAAACAAGUCGGGCGACGACGUAACGAGAUGGUAUCGGGCGUGUGUAAUUUUCUACUCCAACGUAUGAGCUCGGAAUCAAUUAGCAUGUCGAACUCGACUAAUUUCAAUCUAUUGGAGCUGACAUUUGCACGUCGCCGAGGAAGUGAACUAUUAAAUAACUGUUUAUUCCAGCUGGGCGCAGUUACUUGCAAUCUUAUGCUUACAGCCAGACGACAUCCUUAAAAGGAUGAAGUUGGUAUGCCGUUAUCCAACCCAAGUGCGGUCCAGCACCGUUGUCACACGGUUUUCCUACUAAACCCUUCUAUGAAUUAAAAGCAUCUAUCUCGUAAUGGCUUCUAAACCUAUUUAUUUGUACUAGCUUAAGAUGUUCGAUUUUUUAAAUGAUUUUCUGAAAGAAAUUCUUCCCACCUUAUAACAGCCCAGUGCAUAAUUAUAAAGUUGUCUUAUCUUGUAAUAAAAUAAGGAAGGUAAUCUGUGCAGGUUGGCGGUUCAAGGCUACGUAGCUAUAAGGAAGUAACCUCUGCACGUAGCUAUACACUAGUGUUACAUCAAGUAAUGUCGUCCAUGGCUAUAUCAUCUUCUAUGUCAUAUUACACAACGUAGAUUUAUUGAAGGAAUUUAUGGAUAUGUACGUGAAGCAUCUAAUUCUCAUAGUGGAACCUACUUUAUCCUAUCACUGUGUAGGUAUGCGUAGAAGUAUUUUUUAAUUUUUUGUCGUCGUCAUUGGUCUCCACAUUUAUUUGGUUAUUAAUUGUGACACUUAGAAGAAACUAAUUUUACAAGGUUUUACACAAAUCUUGUGGCUUUUUGAGAUGGUAAUAAAAGUUACAUUACAAUCAGUAUAACCACAUACGGUGUAACACUUUAAAUGAACAACAUCUAAUGACAUUAAAUUGGAAAAGUCAGCCGAGAACACUGAAUGCUAAUAAGAUGUGUGGCUUAAACUAAGCCCUCAUUAGCAUAAUGACUACAGCUGUAUUCACUCGUGAAUAAUGUUUUUUAUUUUAUUUAUAUGAUCAGAUCCUACGGCAUUUGUUCUAAGUAUUAAAUGAUAGUUUGGGCGAUUUCGACACUGAACUAAAACUGUGGUUGUCAAUAACGUAAUUAGUGUAAAGAUAUCAACGUCAGUGUCUGUCUGGUGACCGUCGGCCGUAGUUAAGGAAGAUGUGGUUAUUUCUGUGAUGUCAACGAAAAUAACGUGGUUCGGGUCGGCGGCGCCCUAUUACGAAAUGUGCGCUGGCGCAGGAAGAGGAUGUGCGCCCUAUGCCCACAAACGCCAUAUAUACUAUACAAUGCAUCUACUAUUUCUACUGAUAUGGAUAUUAUGUAGAAGAAGAUUCGCCAAAUGAUAACUGACGAAUGUAACUUAGCAGUUUAACCAUCAUAUAGUUCUAUUGGGUAACUGUCUUAUAAAUAAUUCCAUCACCAUAAUGUACAAUAUUUGAUUUGAUAGCGGUGGUGUCACAAGAAAAGACGCCGACAGGCUUUUUCGUUCGUUAACUAAUGAAAAUGAGCGUUACUAUACGCUGACUGACGGCUUAAAUCGAACGCACACCUGUCACACCCACCAGUUAGUUAAGGUUCGCAAAUUGCGUGAACGUAGUUUGUCAUUUGGUUACAUGAGAGCCAGCAGUGGUCUACAAAAUAAAGAUAAUACAGAAGAGAUACCAUGAGAGCAGAUUUUUGUUUCAAAUAUACUAAAAGAAAUACACAAAUGGACUCUAGUGGACAAUAUUUUUGGCGGAGGCAUGAAGUUAUCGAAGGUGAACGCGUGCGGCGACGGCCAGCCGCCUGCAAUGAUGUCAUCACCUCCACCUUGCUUCCACGAAACUAAGCUCCACAUUAUUAUUCAACCGCUCCACUAUCUCUGCUCGUUAUUCGACGUUAGCUUUGAAUUCUAACCAGUUUUGCCUCGCUUACCUCUUUUUGGGCUAAUUUUAUACAAAUUCUUGUGUUAUGGGUGUUUUAUUAUUUUAGUUUAAGCAGUGUUUCGCUAAACUAAUGUGAUGACCUCUAUACUUUCUAAGUUGAUACAAAGUUAAAUUUUAUAUGAAUAAAUCUCGGGCUAAAACAUU